UACGUAGGGGGCAAGCGUUAUCCGGAUUUACUGGGUGUAAAGGGAGCGCAGACGGAUAUAGAAGUCAGAUGUGGAAGCCCCGGGCAUAACCCGGGGAGUGCAUUUGAAACUCUAUAUCUAGAGUACUGGAGGGGUGAGCGGAAUUCCUGGUGUAGCGGUGAAAUGCGUAGAUAUCAGGAAGAACACCGGCGGCGAAGGCGGCUCACUGGACAGCAACUGACGUUGAGGCUCGAAAGCGUGGGGAG
rnacentral:rRNA from 1 species